GGAGCUGCUCCCUGGACCUGCGGGAGGUGCUCUGCGACCGCCCACGCCCCGGCCCGCGGCGCGUCCCGGACGUCCACGCUUGCGUUUCUGCGGAUCGUGGGAAUCCUUCUGCGUGGGUCUGUCUCACACCUUAACUUGAAGAGUUUUAGAAAUGCUAACCGAGCUCAGGUUUUGAACAUGUCUGGGACUGUGAAUUGGCUGCCAGAAUGAAGCAAAAGCAGCCAGGCUGAGAGAACCAUGGAGCUCUGAAGCCAGUCCCAAGAAGAAGCAGAAGACAUAAUACAAGCAGAAGACAGGGAGAGAAUAUUCUACGCGUAUAUACACAGGCUCAAGUAUUCAUUAAAAACAUAAAAGCA
rnacentral:lncRNA from 1 species